AUUGAACGCUGGCGGCAUGCCUUACACAUGCAAGUCGAACGGUAACAGGUCUUCGGACGCUGACGAGUGGCGAACGGGUGAGUAAUACAUCGGAACGUGCCCAGUCGUGGGGGAUAACUACUCGAAAGAGUAGCUAAUACCGCAUACGAUCUGAGGAUGAAAGCGGGGGACCUUCGGGCCUCGCGCGAUUGGAGCGGCCGAUGGCAGAUUAGGUAGUUGGUGGGAUAAAAGCUUACCAAGCCGACGAUCUGUAGCUGGUCUGAGAGGACGACCAGCCACACUGGGACUGAGACACGGCCCAGACUCCUACGGGAGGCAGCAGUGGGGAAUUUUGGACAAUGGGCGAAAGCCUGAUCCAGCAAUGCCGCGUGCAGGAUGAAGGCCUUCGGGUUGUAAACUGCUUUUGUACGGAACGAAAAAGUCUCCUCUAAUACAGGAGGCCCAUGACGGUACCGUAAGAAUAAGCACCGGCUAACUACGUGCCAGCAGCCGCGGUAA
rnacentral:rRNA from 1 species